GCCUGGGAACCUCCAUAUGCCACGGGUGCAGCCCUAAAAAGACUAAAUAAAUAAAUAAAUAAAUAAGUUUGGGCUUAGUGGGAAUCUAUUUUAUUCGCAGUCACUUCUGUGUAUAGCUAAGUCAUUUAUAGAAAUCCUGAUGUAGGAAUGGCAUCCAGGAAUAUUCUACAGCCCACUGAGAUGACUUAACCUGGCAUCAUGACAUGAAGGCAUGACCAAAAGUCAUAAACCCCAAAAAACAGUCACAGCAGUGCUUGGCAUCAGAAGUGUGUGGAUUGUGGAGGAGAAAUAAAGUUUGAAAAAUAAGGAGCCAUAAAUUAAUGUUUGGAAUUUUCUUCUGUAUCUCAUAGCUUAUAUGUGAAAGAAACUUGAUAGGAGUUUUCCUAAAUUUGAUAAUAAUCCUAAAAAUUUACCUUACACCACCAAUAACAGAAUUGGGAAAUUUAAGGAAACUUCUAAAAUACGGAUUUAAAAAACCUACACACUUUGAUCAGCCAUGUUAAGGGAAAGAUAAUGAUCUUUCUGUUCUCUCUCUAAAAAUGAUAUUAUAAAGCCAUUGCCAUAUGAAGAGAUGAUUAAAGAGUAUGUAGGCAAGAGUUCCCGUUGUGUUGAAGCAGAAAUGAAUCUGACCAUGAGGUUGCGGGUUCAAUCGAUGGCCUUGUUCAGUGGGUUAAGGAUCUGGCAUUGCUGUGAGCUGUGGUGUAUUUUGCCGUGGCAGCUGGGAUCCUGUGUUGCUGUGGCUGUGGCACAGGCUGGCAACUACAGCUCUGACUGGACCCCUAGCCUCGGAACCUCCAUAUGCCACUGGCAUGACCCUAAAAAGCAAAAAAGAAAAAAGAUAUAUAGGCAAAAAUUAUAAGAAACAUAUAGAGAUGUGUCAGGCAGUUAUUUACUAAAAAUAUCAUGUACUUUUUCUAUAUAUUAUGAUGACAUGGUAUUUUCCACCGCUACAGAUUUUGUGCUUUGUUAUUUCUUAUGACUAUAAAAUAUCAUAUUCAUAAUUUUGUAUUAUUUUUCUUAAAGAACCCCUCUUUAAACUUCAGGCUUCACAAAACCUCCUAAGAGGCUAGGUUGCCUGCGCGUGUGGAAGUGGGGGUGUGAGGGUAUGGUGUGACUUUCUACUUGAGGGCUUAAAGAGAGGAGAAAAAAGCUUGGAGUGAUGACUGAAGAACUGUACUUAAGAGUCAGACAAGGAAAAGUGGCCCUGGGGUACCAGCUGAGGCUACAUAUCAUAUAUUUAUUUUCUGAUAUGGAGAAUACUGGACAGGAAUCCCUUAUAAAACAGCGUGGGCUAUUAUAAACCUUGAGUGAUCAGUGUCAGAGUUAAUGUUUUAAAAAUGGAUUUGGCAGCAGAGAGAAUAGCUGCAGCUAACUCCUCUGGCAUAAUCACAUGAACCCCUUCAUAAUUCACUAAAGUAUGACCCUAAGAUGGUCUCACUUUUCAUUGUGCUUUUACCUAGCCCAUUACUGAUGUAUCUCUUGUCACACCUGCACUUAUGGUGUUGGGAUUCACAGUUUGGGAGUCAUUCACCAUUACAAUUCCUCUGUGUUUAGCCUCCUCCAUGGGGACAGGUCUCUUUUCUCUCUUGGUAUCAUCUGAUGGCGGACAUGUGUUCUUGAAGUAGUCUUGAUAGCUGGGGCAGCUUCCCUCUGCUUGGGGAUUAUCUCAGCAGAUGUUUGGAAGCAGACUGGAAGUGCUGAUGCUGAUGAGUAGAGAGGAAAUGGAGUGUAGCCUGGACUUUGCUGCUAGGUAGUCAUUUCCAAGUCUGAGAAAAUAACCCAGUUUAGUUAGUUGGCCUAACUGAACUGGUCAAGUGGAUAAGUGGUCUUCAAAAUGCAGAGGAGAGCUACUGCUUCAUCAAUGCACCAAUGGAUACUGAUGACUGAACUUACGAUCCAUCCCUAUUACUAAUCCAUCUCUUUUUUUUUAAAUUUGGUAAUGUAAUUUAAUUUUAUCUAUUAGGUGUAUUUUUUUUCCCACUGUACAGCAAGGGGAUCAAGUUAUCCUUACAUGUAUACAUUUCCCCCCCCACCCUUUGUUCUGUUGCAAUAUGAGUAUCUAGACAUAGUUCUCAAUGCUAUCUCAGCAGGAUCUCCUUGUAAAUCUAUUCUAAGUUGUGUCUGAUAACCCCAAGCUCCCGAUCCCUCCCACUACCUCCCUCUCCUGUUGGGCAGCCACAAGUCUAUUUUCCAAGUCCAUGAUUUUCUUUUCUGUGGAAAGGUUCAUUUGUGCUGGACAUUAGAUUCCAGUUAUAAGUGAUGUCAUAUGGUAUUUGUCUUUGUCUCUCUGGCUCAUUUCACUCAGGAUGAGAUUCUCUAGUUCCAUCCAUGUUGCUGCAAAUGGCAUUAUGUCAUUCUUUUUUAUGGCUGAGUAUGUUCCAUUGUGUAUAUAUACCCCAUCUUCCAAAUCCAAUCCUCUGUCGAUGGACAUUUGGGUUGUUUCCAUGUCCUGGCUAUUGUGAAUAGUGCUGCAAUGAACAUGCGGGUGCAAGUGUCUCUUUUAAGUAGAGUUUUGUCCGGAUAUAUGCCCAAGAGUGGGAUUGCGGGGUCAUAUGGAAGUACCAUGAGAUACCACCUCACACCAGUCAGAAUGGCCAUCAUUAAUAAGUCCACAAAUAACAAGUGCUGAAGGGGUUGUGGAGAAAAGGGAACCCUCUUGCACUGUUGGUGGGAAUGUAAACUGGUACAGCCACUAUGGAGAACAGUUUGGAGAUAUCUUAGUAAUACAUCUCUUGAUAAGGAAGCCCAAAUAAUUUAGGAUAGCUGGGUUGCAGGAAAAAUGAUAUAAAUAUUGAUUACCUUGAUUAGGCUUCCAUUCUAAUUCUCUUUGUAAUAUCUCAUUGUUUUCUUUAUCAAAGAGUUCAAAACAUAAACUACUCUUCACAGUAAACACAGACCCAUGAAAACUUGAAGAAGAGAGUAGAGGAAAUGUGUUGAACAGAUAUGGGAUAAACUAAUAUAAAAAUAAGAGUUAAGGUUUAUUCAGUGAUUAAUGUGUGCCAGACAUUGUGAUAACUUGUACACACAAUAUCUAUUAAAUAUCCAUUUAAUUUUCAGAGUAGCAUAUGAGGCAGAUACUUUUUUUUUUUUUUUGUCUUUUUAGGGCUGCACCUGUGGGUUUUGGAAGUUCCCAGGCUAAGGGUUGAGUUGAAGUUUCCGGCCUACACCACAGCCACAGCAACACAGGCUCUGAGCUGCUUCUGUGACCUACACCUCAGCACAGGGCAGUGCUGGAUCCUUAAUCCACUGAGCGAAGCCUUGUGCUCACUGAUACUAGACAGGUACAUUACCCGUUGAGCCACAAUGGGAACUCCAAGACAGAUACUUUUGUUAUCUCCAUUUUACAUAUGAGAAAACUGAGUCUUAGAGAAAUUUAGUAACCUGCCAAGGUCAUAUUAGCGUCAGAGCCAGGAUGCAAAUACAAAUAUGUCUGACUCCAAAGCUCAUGCUCUUUACCCCAUGAGAUGCUGAGAGGUUGGUAGAUGAACAUGAGUAUGAGUGCUUGUGGAUAGAAACCAGUAGUAGAUGUGAAAAAGAAUAAGGGGUUAUCACAGGGAUGGAACAACAGGUGUCACUUCUGGUGACAGUUUGAGAUUACAUUGCAAGUAAUUUGUGCUAUUAAUAAUUUGUUAUUACUAAUAAUGGAAUGUUUGUGAAUGACUGACAUGAAGAUAGAUGGCAGCUGACUUAAAUAUCACUCUUACCUGGAUUUUGUUAUGCUUUUCUUUAAGUGAGAGGGAAAGCAGCGGAAUUAUAGAUGGGUGUUCCUACACUGGUGGGGUGAUCCCAGGUGUACAUUAACUGUUGUGGGGGUGUGAUAGAAAGGAAAUAAGAAUCAUUAGACCAAAGAUGCUAUACAUGGAAUAAUGCUGCAGCUCUUGUGUAUAUUUUUCUCAAUUUCCCCUCCUUCGGUUCCCAGACUCUUUGAAUGAAUGUGCGGGGAUGUUGACAUCAGGGAGCAACCUUCCAUUGCAGAAGGUAGUUUGACCCAUGCACAGGGCAGGACAGGGAGGUCAGCAGUGACCAAGUCAGAGCUGGUGCUGACUAAGUCACAUGGCCCCGAGCAAGUCAUUUGCCUUUCACCAGCUUCAGUUCUGCAUCUGGAAAGCGGGGUUGUAAUAUGUGGUAUACCUACAUCACAGGGUUAUGGAGAACCAAAGGAGAUGGCGACUCUAGCUAUGAUUGCUAUUUUGAGAGACCUGGAAGCAAGCAAGACCUUUAGUUUCUGUGGACUAAAGGUCCUGGAAAAUGGCAUCCUAACAGCCCUUAACUCCUAAACGUUUUCCUCCAUUCCUCCCACACACAGACAUGCACACUCUCAGUGAACCCUUCACCCUCCAGCGCUCAAAUCCCUGUUUCCCAAGUGCGCCAACACAUCACGUUCUAAACAAAAACUAUUAGGGAAGUUUUUUGAUGAGUUGAGACCCCUGACAGGGCUGGGUCCCUUUUUUGGUAACAUGUUGAUAGGAUGUUUGAGAUUUAGUUCUGAAACUCAUUACUUUUCCCCUAAAUGGAAUUUUUCCUGGAAGGCCAUAAAAAUAGAAGGGAUUAAAAUUUUUAUUAGGUUGAUCAGGUUACACACAUCCUCUGGCCUGAUACAUCACAAACAAGAAAAUAAUAAAAGGCAUUUAAACAGAGACUUUUUGCCAGAGGUCUUCUCAACACAUUAUAAAACAUUAGGAGAUGGCAAGUAAGAGAUUAGAAUCAGCCGUGCCUAUAAACUAGCACUCACUCUACAGUCUGUGCAUUCAGAGUAGGAGAAAACUUGAAGGGCAUGAGGGGUUGCAUAAACAGGUCUUGUGAGCCAGCAAGAAUGUAUCUGGGCCUGGCUUCUCCCCUCAGCCUGUUUGGCCGUUCCAGUGCCCUCCUACCAAGGAAAAUUGGAGCCUCUUUUGCUUGUGGCUGCUCUGACCAGCAGGUUCAAGCUCCAUCUAUUCCUGAUACUGAGGGCAUCCAAAAUGCUGGGCAUGAUAUGUUAUCCAGUGUGCAAAGCUUUUAAAAGUCAGUCUUUGAGAAGACAAGACUGGAAGAAUGAUGUUAUCAUAAAAAUGGUGGUUUCCUUUGGAGGAAGUUGAAAAGUUCACACUGUGUCAACAUCUCAGACAUCCCUCAGUUUACGUUUACGGACUCUUAUUCACGGUCCAUCCCCUGUAACUGUGGGGGGCUAGAAUAGAGAGUGGUCCUGCCUCCCAUCCCCACUCAACACUCUACUCUACCCAAAUUUUAUGAUAGCCCUUAGCAUUGAUUUGUAUCCCCCCAUCCAGACUGUAAAUCUAUUGAGUGACUGAUACAUUAGGAUUCAGUAAAUGGUUGCAUUUAUAUUCUCCUCCUUACUAGACUUACUAAUUUAUCUAGAUUUGAAAAUCAUCUUUUUGUUGAUAUAAUUUCAUCCCCUGUUAUAUAUCUCCUUGGCAACGAUCUCCUUGAUAUAUUCGUGGAUUUCUCAUAGAAAUCUCAAAGUUAAAAUGUAAAGCAUGUCAACAGAAGUCUGUUCCCCAUCGAUGUGCUCCUCCCCACUUGUAUUCUCAGGUCUCCUCCUUCUCAGUAAGUGACACCACGGCUACUCUGUUAUUCAAACUGGAAACUGAAAAGUCACUUCUUCUGGUUUUUCUUUUUGGUUAUUAGGUGUAUCUUUGCUUUAGUUAUUUUUUAAAAUUUAUUUUUUAUUGAGGUAAUAUUGGUUUAUAACAUUAUAUGUUUCAUGUAGGCAACAUUAUAUUUUUACUUCUAUAUACACUACAGUGUGCACCAAAAAUUUAGUUUCCAUCCAAUACUCUACAGUUGACUCCUCCUACCCAUUUCACCCUCAUCCCUCCCCCUUUCCCUCUGUUAACCUGUUAAUUACCACUUCUCUGUGUUGGCAUGUUUGUUUCUCUUUGGUUUGGGGUUUUUGUUUUUUAUUACAUAUAUAAGAGAAAUUUGCAGUAUCUGUCUUUCUCUAUCUGAAUUAUUUCACUUAUCAUAAUGCCCUCAGGUUUUAUCCAGGUUGUUGCAAAUGGGACGAUUUCAUCUUUUUUUAUGCCUGAGUAGUAUUCCAUUGUAUUUAUAUACCACAUCUUCUUUAUCCAUGCAUCUGUUGAUGGGCACUUAGGUUGUUUCCAUAUCUUGGCUGUUGUAAAUAAUAUUGUGAUGAACAUGGUGGUGCAUGUAUCUUUUCGAAUUAGUGUUUUUGUAUUCUUUGGAUAAAUACCCAGAAGUGGAAUAGCUGUAUCAUAUGGUAGUUCUAGUCUUAAUUUUUUGAAGAAUCUUCAUAUUGUUUUCACAGCGGCUGCACCAAUUGUCAUUCCCACCAGCAAUGUAUGAGUGUUCCCUUUAGAAGCGACCUUUGGUGGGAGUUCCUGUCACGGCUCAGUGGUAACAAACCUGACUAGGAUUCACGAGGAUGCAGGUUUGAUCCCUGGCCUUGCUCAGUGGGUUAAGGACCUGGCAUGUGGUGUAGGUUGCAGACGUGGCUCGGAUCUCAUGUUGAAGUGGCUGUGGCUGUGACCAGCAGCUGUGGCUGUGGCCAGCAGCUGAAGCUCCGAUUCAACCUCUAACUUGGGAACUUCCAUAUGCCACAGGUGUGGCCCUAAAAAGAAAAAAAAAAGGGACCUUUGGUUCUUUCCUUUCCUUGACCCAGUCAUUCAAGUUACUACUAUCUAAGGCCAUCUUCAAAUAAUCAAAAAUUUCCAUGUUGCUUCAUUGCCUUAGUCUGGGUAACCAUCAUUUCUCACCUGGACACAACAGUUGGCUCUCAAAUGGUCACCUUGUUUGCAUUCUUGUUCCUACCAACCCAUUCUUCUAUUCUCCAUACAGUAGUCUUUUUUUUCCUGCAUCUACAACCCCAUCCUCUUCUAACCUUCCUGUGUUAGUUUUAAACAAUUCUCAGACAUCUUACUAUUUGAAUUCCUAACUACUAUACUGUAUAUGUGUGUGUAUAGCAUAAUAUACACAUUAUAUGCAUUCAUAUGUAUAUAAACCUAUGUAUAUAUGUAUGUAUAUAUACACUCCUUUUUGCUAAACAUAACUACAAUAGUAUUAUUGUACUUAAAAAUGUAAUGAUAUUUGGAGUUCCCAUCAUGGCUUGGGGUUAACGAAUCUGACUAGGAACCAUAAGGUUGCAGGUUUGAUCCCUGGCCUUGCUCAGUGGGUUAAGGAUCUGGCGUUGCCAUGAGCUGUGAUGUAGGCCGGUAGCUACAGGUCUGAUUAGACCCCUAGCUUAGGAACCUCCACAUGCCAUGGGUGCAGCCNAAAAAAAAAAAAAAAAAAAAAAA
rnacentral:lncRNA from 1 species